rnacentral:lncRNA from 10 species
ACUCAGACCAUGUUGCCUUGGGCAAAUCAGAAAAGUAGAAGCUUUGUCUGUAUUUGUGGACUAAGAAAAUAUACAUCCGGAGGGGAGCCAAGAUGGCCGAAUAGGAACAGCUCCGGUCUACAGCUCCCAGCGUGAGCGACCCAGAAGACGGGUGAUUUCUGCAUUUCCAUCUGAGGUACCGGGUUCAUCUCACUAGGGAGUGUCAGACAGUGGGCGCAGUUUGGAGUUGUUGCUACCUGUGUCUACCCAGCCAAGGACUUUAUGCCUCAGGCCUUCAUAUUCAGGUAAAUCCACACAACCAGUUCUUCACAACAGAGAUAUGAGCAGAAUUGAUGGUGAUGCUCUGGGCUGGAGCCUAUAAGAAGCACGUGGGCCUGUCCAUCUUUUUUCCCUUUUGCUGGAAAGGAAGGCAUGUAUUGCAGUUGGGGACUCCAUCAGUCUGGGUCCCUGAGUGAUUAUGUGGCUCAGAGCCCUCACCAACUCUCCAUAGAAUUUUUCUUACUAAACACAUUUCUGUAGAAUUCCUAAAUUUGCAAGCAUACCCAAGUAAACCUCCUCUCAUUAAAUCAUUUUUCAUAACAUUUUAUUCUGCUUUCUAGUUUUUCCUGUCUCCUCAUCUUACAGUAUCAUGUGAUAGAUUUAGGCUCAGAGGACAAUAGUACAAGUGGCUCUCAUUUAUAAUUUAUUCUCAUGACAUUAAAAAUAUUAUUUUAAAGUAUGUAUCCAUUAUAUUGAAUACUGAUUUAUGAUUUUAAGGAAUGUAGUUAUCUGGUCUAGCCUUUGAAAAGGGAUCUCAAAAAUGUUUUAUUUAUGAUAGACAUGUUCUCAAAGGGUCAUUCCACUGUCAAUAUUUAUCAGGUGGUAACACUCUGGACAAUAGUAAUAAUAACCUUUGAAUGUUAGAUAUUAAAAACCAAAAAUAGUACGUAAGCAGUCCUAAAACAGAGGGAAAAGGAAAUAAUACACCAUUUCUCAGUCAUAGAUGUAAUGUUGGAUACUAUUGAAAACUUUCUAACUCUCCUUAAAAGAAGUAACCUCCAUUUUUUGCCUAACUUAUUUCAAGCACAAUUUUAAAAAUAAUAUUUCUCUGAUUACAAAAACAGGACAUGUUUCUCAUGAAAAUUUUGGAAAUGUGAAAUUACAGAAAAGCCCAAAGGAAAACAAUGAAAAUCUCUUGCAACUACAGUACUUAGAAAAAUGCCUAUUAUCAUUUUGUUUUAUAUCCCUGCUGUCUUUAUAUGUACAACUUGCAUUUUGCAAGAGUUUAGAAAGUUGUAACCUUAUUUUUUAAAUCAGUGCAUAACUAAUAUUUUUUAUGCUAUUAAAAUAUUAUUUUAAGAUGUAAUAUCUAAUCACAUGUCUGCAUCAUAAUCUACUUAAUCUCCCCUUGUUCACAAUUAAGUAGUUUCCAAUUUUUCACUAUCAAAGUAAUGCUACAACAAGAAGGAUAUCCUGGUAUAUAAAUAAUUUUACACAACACAGUUAUUUCCUUGACAUAAAUACCUAGAAUAGAAUUAGUCAAACAUAAGAAAUUAAUAUUUAAUACCUCCGAUACAUCCUGCCAUGCUGCCCACAAAAAGACCAUACCAAGUUACACCACCACCGAAAAUGUGUUAAAGGAUCAGUUUGCUCAAAACUUAAAUAAAAUAGAGUAAGUUAUUUUAUAUCUACACAUUUAAUGAGUUGAAAUGUAUCCUCUGCAUUACUUUCACAUGUACUUCUGCCAAUUAAUAUAAAAUUCAUGUGUGCAAAAAUUAAAUAAUAGAGUAACACAUCAUUACAGAUUCCAAAAAAAGCAAAAAAUAUUUACUAAUUGCACAAUUACUAAUUGUAAGUCACUUUUUUGGACAUCUUCCUAAAUAGUAUGUCUUUUCUUUAUAAUAUAAUGUCUUUAUUAAGGGUACACUGAAUUUGACAGUUUGGCCUAAGUGUGACAAACAACUAAUUGAGACUAAAAUACUAUGAAGGCUCUCAAAAUGACAAAUGAUUUCCAUCUGUGUCUCCAUUGUUUCAAAUUUGAUUCAUAUAUUGCUUAUCAGUAACAUAAGUAAUUCUUAUUUUUUUCAUUUCUACUCACUUUUGUGAAAUGAAAAGGACAAAAUAUGAUGAAACAUUCAAAUAAUUUCAUAUACAUUACUAUGUUGAGAGAGAUAGAAGCACUGCUGAAACUGAAAUACAUAUUGGCAGACUAGCAGCACCAACCUACCACAUUUAAAAAUAUUAUUUUACCAUGUGAAUGUUCACAUUAAAUAUAAUAAAGAUAAUUUAGGAAUAUCAAUGUCAUGCCUAGUCAAGUAUAUGAAAGCCAUAUAAUCUCAUUGAUGCUUUAUUUCUCAUAUCUUUGAUUGCUAGCAAUGGUGAGCCCAUUUCCAUAAGUGUUUUGGCCACUGAGGUUCUUUGUGAAUUUUCAAUUCAUGUAUUUUGUCUGUAUUAUGUUGGAAUGUGCAUAAUUUGUUUAUUGAGUUAUAAAUGCUACUUACAUAUUCAGAAUAUAAAAACCAUUAUAGUUGAUGUGAAUAAAAAUACCUAGUUGGCUAAAUGUCUUUAGGUUUUAUGUUGUUUUUUUUAUAAUGGAUCUGCAGACAUUUUUAAUUUUCAUGUAUAUAUUCAAAUAUCUUGAUAUGAUUUGGCUCUGUGUCCCCGCCCAAAUCUCAUGUCAAAUUGUUAGACCUGGUGGAAAGUGAUUGGAUCAUGGGGAUGGUUUCUAAUGACUUAGCAUCAUCCCCUUAAUGCUGUCUCAUGAUAGAAUUCUCGCAAGAUCUGGUUGUUUAAAAGCGUGCGGCACCUCCCCUUCUCGCUCUCUUCAUCUUGCUCCAGUCAUGUAAGAUGCACCUGCUUCCUUUUUGCCUUCUGCCAUGAUUGUAAGUCUCCUGAGGCUUCCCCAGUCAUGCUUCUUGUACACCUCAUGGAACCGUGAGCCAAUUAAACCUCU